rnacentral:rRNA from 1 species
UAAUACGUAGGGGGCAAGCGUUGUCCGGAUUUAUUGGGCGUAAAGCGCGCGCAGGUGGUGAAUUAAGUUGUGGGUAAAAGGCAUUGGCUCAACCAAUGUAAGCCUGCAAAACUGGUUCACUUGAGUGCAGGAGAGGGGAGUGGAAUUCCCGGUGUAGCGGUGGAAUGCGUAGAUAUCGGGAGGAACACCAGUGGCGAAGGCGACUCUCUGGCCUGUAACUGACACUGAGGCGCGAAAGCGUGGGGAGCGAACAGGAUUAGAUACCCUGGUAGUCCACGCCGUAAACGAUGAGUGCUAGGUGUUGGGGGCAUCACGUCCUCAGUGCCGAAGGAAACCCAUUAAGCACUCCGCCUGGGGAGUACGACCGCAAGGUUG